rnacentral:lncRNA from 1 species
ACUAUCAGCCACCAUACUCAGCACAUCAAAUCCUUUCUUAUCUCCCUUCUUAUUCUGCCACUGUGGGCAAUCUCGUUUGAAGUGUCCGAUCUCGUUGCACUUGUAGCACCUGGCUUCCUUUCUGCUCCUGCUUUUCCGAGACUUUGACCGUUCUCUUGACUUACCUCUUUUCCUUUUUCUUUCUAAUCUCUCCCCCACGGCCAAGACUUCCUAGGGAGCACCUUCCUUGGUCAAAUUCUCUCACUGUUCAUUGGACCA